rnacentral:lncRNA from 1 species
UGCAAUAGCAAGAAUUUUUCAAUUGCACAGUACUCAGCAAUAACAAGAAAUCUUCAAUUGCACAGUAUUGUGCAAUAGCAAGAAAUUUUCAAUUGCACAGUAUUGCGCAAUAGCAAGAAAUCUUCAAUUGCACAGUAUUGUGCAAUAGCAAGUAUUUUCAAUUGCACAGUAUUGCACAAUAGCAAGAAAUAUCUAAUUGCACAAUUUCAAUUGGAGUUAUCUUUCUUUGUCCAGA